AAAAGAAAUCUGAAUGACAAUAUCAACAGAUGUGCUAAAAGCAGAAGGAGAAAAAUCUCAGGAGGUCCCACUCCUAGAAAAGAACUUCAGAAAUAAAGCUUUUCAGGACGACUCAAGAAGCUCUACCAGCUGAGCGUGAAGCAGGCAGUGCACAGAGCGGAUCAGCAUCAGAGGAAACUGACUCUCCCAUCAAAAUUCAUUUGUUUAACAUAAAACCCGGGAGUCUCCUGCAAGGUAGCACACUGGCUUCCUUACCUCCAGCAUCUUCUGACUUCUUAGCACACAGAACAAACCGGCACCUAAAGCCUGAAGUGAUUGCAUGUAUUUGCGUGAGAAAUACCCAGUGGUCCCUGCUUCUCCUGCAAUUGGAUGGGGUCCCUGUGGCUUUCAGGGACAGCACCUGAAAUGAAAAGGGAAUGCAAGGCUUCUCUUGACAGUCCUGGUUCAAAUCCCAUCUAGAGGGCUUAAGAAAAGUAAAAUGGCGACAGUGACCAACACCAAAACCAGAGCCCUGUACUGAGCAGUCCUAGCUACAGUCUUGCUUCUCUGGGGUCACCGAUGAAGUGUUACAGAGUCUACUGAGAACACAGAAAAGGCUCCGUCCAGCUUCCUAGCCUUGACUUUAAAAGCAAAGCCAUAACUGUAGCUGCCUGUGUAAAAACCCUGUCAUAUUUAUAAAUAAAUGUGACAAUAUAAAGCAA